rnacentral:rRNA from 1 species
CCUACGGGUGGCAGCAGUGAGGAAUAUUGGUCAAUGGGCGCGAGCCUGAACCAGCCAAGUCGCGUGAGGGAUGACGGUCCUAUGGAUUGUAAACCUCUUUUGUCGGGGAGCAAAAGACGCCACGCGUGGCGUUCCGAGAGUACCCGAAGAAAAAGCAUCGGCUAACUCCGUGCCAGCAGCCGCGGUAAUACGGAGGAUGCGAGCGUUAUCCGGAUUUAUUGGGUUUAAAGGGUGCGCAGGCGGAAGAUCAAGCCAGCGGUAAAAUUGAGAGGCUCAACCUCUUCGAGCCGUUGAAACUGGGGUUCUUGAGUGAGCGAGAAGUAUGCGGAAUGCGUGGUGUAGCGGUGAAAUGCAUAGAUAUCACGCAGAACUCCGAUUGCGAAGGCAGCAUACCGGCGCUCAACUGACGCUCAUGCACGAAAGUGUGGGUAUCGAACAGGAUUAGAUACCCGAGUAGUC